AGUAAUGUCUGGGAAGCUGCCUGAUGGAGGGGGAUAACUGCUGGAAACGGUAGCUAAUACCGCAUAACGUCGCAAGACCAAAGAGGGGGACCUUCGGGCCUCUUGCCAUCGGAUGUGCCCAGAUGGGAUUAGCUAGUAGGUGGGGUAACGGCUCACCUAGGCGACGAUCCCUAGCUGGUCUGAGAGGAUGGCCAGCCACACUGGAACUGAGACACGGUCCAG
rnacentral:rRNA from 1 species